CAACUACAAAGAAUGGAAGGCUUAUCUCAAAGAGGUAUUCUCCGUUGAAGAUGUUGACGAUCAAACUGUAGACGAGGUGACCCCCGAGUUGCGGGAAGCCUCUGGUAAUGAUGCUGUAGACGAGGUGACCCAAGAGUUGCGGGAAGCCCCUGGUAAUGAUGCUGUACACGAGGUGACCCCCGAGUUGCGGGAAGCCUCUGGUAAUGAUGCUGUACACGAGGUGACCCAAGAGUUGCGGGAAGCCUCUGGUAAUGAUGCUGUACACGAGGUGACCCAAGAGUUGCGGGAAGCCCCUGGUAAUGAUGCUGUACACGAGGUGACCCAAGAGUUGCGGGAAGCCCCUGGUAAUGAUGCUGUACACGAGGUGACCCAAGAGUUGCGGGAAGCCCCUGGUAAUGAUGCUGUACACGAGGUGACCCAAGAGUUGCGGGAAGCCCCUGGUAAUGAUGCUGUACACGAGGUGACCCCCGAGUUGCGGGAAGCCUCUGAUGAAGGAAAUGAAGCAGCAGACGAGACGACGUCCGAGGAGGGAAAAGUCGCUCAGAACGGUACAGUGGCCGCAGACAAGAACGCCCCCCAUAACGGCGAGGCCUCUGCACCGGUGACAGUCUCUGCCACGCCCUCCACUGUUGCCUACGCUUACCGCAGCCUUAUUGUGCCUCAUAGAUUCAUGAAUCGCCUCGCAGGCCCCGAGGACCGCCACCUCGAGGAUCUGCGGCGGAGCUAUGGGGUCAAAAUCGUGCGGAUUAAGCGAACCCUGCACGUGAAGGGCCACAAAGACGCAGUGCUGCAGUGCCACCACUCCAUGCGCGCCAAGAUCGCUGAGUGGCGGGGGGACGAGGCCGCUGACGCUCAUUAAGCGACUUAGACACCUGAGACGGCCGAGUAACACUGCUCGUGACCUGAAGCUGCAGACGAGGCGACCUCCGAGUUGCGGGAAGCCUCUGGUGAAGGAAAAGGUGCUGGCGACGAGGCGACCUCCGAGUUGCGGGAAGCCUCUGGUGAAGGAAAAGGUGCUGGCGACGAGGCGACCUCCGAGUUGCGGGAAGCCUCUGGUGAAGGAAAAGGUGCUGGCGACGAGGCGACCUC